GAUGAACGUUGACAGAAUGCUUAACACAUGCAAGUCUACUUGAAUUUGGGUUUUUUAACUUAGAUUUGGGUGGCGGACGGGUGAGUAACGCGUAAAGAACUUGCCUCACAGCUAGGGACAACAUUUGGAAACGAAUGCUAAUACCUGAUAUUAUGAUUUUAAGGCAUCUUAGAAUUAUGAAAGCUAUACGCGCUGUGAGAGAGCUUUGCGUCCCAUUAGCUAGUUGGAGAGGUAACGGCUCACCAAGGCGAUGAUGGGUAGCCGGCCUGAGAGGGUGAACGGCCACAAGGGGACUGAGACACGGCCCUUACUCCUACGGGAGGCAGCAGUGGGGAAUAUUGGACAAUGGACCAAGAGUCUGAUCCAGCAAUUCUGUGUGCACGAUGACGUUUUUCGGAAUGUAAAGUGCUUUCAGUUGGGAAGAAAAAAAUGACGGUACCAAC
rnacentral:rRNA from 1 species